rnacentral:tRNA from 1 species
GGUGGCUCAGUGCUAGAGCGCUUGCCUUGCAUGCAUGAAGUCCUGGGUUCAAUUCCUCAGCACCA